rnacentral:rRNA from 1 species
UACGUAGGGUGCAGGCGUUAAUCGGAAUUACUGGGCGUAAAGCGUGCGCAGGCGGUUCCUUAAGUCAGAUGUGAAAUCCCCGGGCUUAACCUGGGAACUGCGUUUGAAACUGAGGAGCUCGAGUGUGGAAGAGGGGGGUGGAAUUCCAGGUGUAGCAGUGAAAUGCGUAGAGAUCUGGAGGAACACCGAUGGCGAAGGCAGGCCCCUGGGCUAACACUGACGCUCAUGCACGAAAGCGUGGGGAGCAAAAGGG